rnacentral:rRNA from 2 species
UUGAAGACGACGACGUUGAUAGGCCGGGUGUGUAAGCGCAGCGAUGCGUUGAGCUAACCGGUACUAAUGAACCGUGAGGCUUAACCUUACAACGCCGAAGGUGUUU